rnacentral:rRNA from 1 species
UACGUAGGGUGCAAGCGUUGUCCGGAAUUAUUGGGCGUAAAGAGCUCGUAGGCGGUUUGUUGCGUCGGCUGUGAAAUCCCGAGGCUCAACCUCGGGUCUGCAGUCGAUACGAGCAAACUAGAGUGUUGCAGGGGAGACUGGAAUUCCUGGUGUAGCGGUGAAAUGCGCAGAUAUCAGGAGGAACACCAGCGGCGAAGGCGGCGCUCUGGGCUGGCACUGACACUGAGGAGCGAAAGCGUGGGAGCGAACAGG